UGCGGCAGAAAAAUUUGCAUUCUCUUGUGUGAAUUCGUUUAGUCGACGCCCGUUUCAUUAAAUUAUAAAUGAAAAAUUAUAUUUUUUAUUAAAAUUUAUUACAAUAAUAUGUUUAUAAAUCACUUUGAAGUUGUACUUCAAAUAUAAAUUUACAAAACUAUUUGUAAACAGAUUUAAAAUAGAAGGAUUGUAUUUCAAUCAGAAAAAAAAAGAAAAUUUAAAAAAUUUGUGUUUGUUUUGCGAAUUUGUCGCAGAGCGGCAAUAAAUUUUGUGUUUAUAUAUUUUUGUUUUUUGUAAUAAAAAUCAUUUAUGACUAACUGAAAACAAAAACUAAAAUAUACAAAAAAAAAAUUGCUAAAGACAGCGAAAUUAACUGCAAAGAAAAGCGUAUAGUGCAAACGGACAACACAAAAACAACAAACACGCGGAGUACAACGAAAAGGGAGGGGAAGGGAAAGGUUGAACAAAA